rnacentral:rRNA from 1 species
CCUACGGGAGACAGCAGUGAGGAAUAUUGGUCAAUGGGCGCGAGCCUGAACCAGCCAAGUAGCGUGAAGGAUGACUGCCCUACGGGUUGUAAACUUCUUUUAUAAAGGAGUAAAGUGAGGCACGUGUGCCUUUUUGUAUGUACUUUAUGAAUAAGGAUCGGCUAACUCCGUGCCAGCAGCCGCGGUAAUACGGAGGAUCCGAGCGUUAUCCGGAUUUAUUGGGUUUAAAGGGAGCGUAGAUGGGUUGUUAAGUCAGUUGUGAAAGUUUGCGGCUCAACCGUAAAAUUGCAAUUGAUACUGGAAGUCUUGAGUACAGUUGAGGUAGGUGGAAUUCGAGGUGUAGCGGUGAAAUGCGUAGAUAUCACGAAGAACUCCGAUUGCGAAGGCAGCUUACUAAACUGCCACUGACAUUGAUGCUCGAAAGUGUGGGUAUCAAACAGGAUUAGAUACCCCUGUAGUC